AGUGGACGCUGGCGGUAGGCCUAACACAUGCAAGUCGAACGGCAGCACAGUAAGAGCUUGCUCUUACGGGUGGCGAGUGGCGGACGGGUGAGGAAUACAUCGGAAUCUACUUUUUCGUGGGGGAUAACGUAGGGAAACUUACGCUAAUACCGCAUACGACCUACGGGUGAAAGCAGGGGAUCUUCGGACCUUGCGCGAUUGAAUGAGCCGAUGUCGGAUUAGCUAGUUGGCGGGGUAAAGGCCCACCAAGGCGACGAUCCGUAGCUGGUCUGAGAGGAUGAUCAGCCACACUGGAACUGAGACACGGUCCAGACUCCUACGGGAGGCAGCAGUGGGGAAUAUUGGGCAAUGGGCGCAAGCCUGAUCCAGCCAUACCGCGUGGGUGAAGAAGGCCUUCGGGUUGUAAAGCCCUUUUGUUGGGAAAGAAAAGCAGCAGGUUAAUACCCCGCUGUUCUGACGGUACCCAAAGAAUAAGCACCGGCUAACUUCGUG
rnacentral:rRNA from 1 species